GGAAAAGAACUUGUUAAAGACACUGCAGGGAGAAGUGAAGAUUGGCAGGGUGGAACCUCUAAGCGUAAGGAUGGUGAGGCAUCGGGCGGAAGCUGAAAAGCAGGGCCGGAAGUGUUAGCAAAGCAGGACCGGAAGUGGUGACAAGGAGCAAUUUAGCGGCCGAAGUCUUUUUUGCGGGAGUGAAAGAGCCAGUUUUGGAUCCCUAGACCUGUCCCUUGCAGAGGGGUGGGGAUUUGGAAUCCGCAGCUGAGAGGAGUGAGGGAACAUCUUUAUUCAGCAGGUUUCCCAGACAACGUUGGAGGCUCCGAACAUCCUUCAACACCUCCGUGAGGGCUGCUUUUGUCAAGGAGCAGUCUCUCUCUGCCAACGGCGCUGCAACCAUGGGAGGAAUUCCAAUAAUUGACACCAUCGACGAAGACACCGAAAUCCUAACACGAAAGUCGAGCAUGAGUUCAUUCUGCAGUGUGGCUGCCAGUGAAAACAACAACAGCAGCAAUGAUGAUUGUUCAUUGUUGUGAACAGAUGUGUUUCUGUUCAGCCAGGAAUGACAACAUUUGGACAUCCUGGACACACCGUCGUACUGUACCAGUGAGCACACAGCAGCACAUCAGUGACAGUGUCCGGCAGACAUGUGAGCUACUUCUGUAAUUUGUUGGCAACUACUAAUGUUUGCAAUGUGAAGUCUGUCUGUACUUUUGAAAGUCUGCAAGUUGAAUGUUUGUAAGUCAGGAAGUUACUGUACACUGUCUUUC
rnacentral:lncRNA from 1 species